GUCACGCUAAUUGUGCUUGUUAUU
rnacentral:siRNA from 1 species